rfam:Clostridium sp. CAG:417 genomic scaffold, scf2
GCCGAAAUAGCUCAAUUGGUAGAGCAACUGAUUUGUAAUCAGUAGGUUACGGGUUCAAGUCCUGUUUUCGGCA